rnacentral:rRNA from 1 species
UACAGAGGGGGCAAGCGUUAUUCGGAAUUAUUGGGCGUAAAGGGCGCGUAGGCGGCCUGGCAAGUGGAAGGUGAAAUCCCUCGGCUUAACCGAGGAACUGCCCUCCAAACUGCUUGGCUUGAGUCCGGGAGAGGUGAGUGGAAUUCCCAGUGUAGCGGUGAAAUGCGUAGAUAUCGGGAGGAACACCUGUGGCGAAAGCGGCGCACUGGACCAUAACUGACGCUGAUGCGCGAAAGCUAGGGGAGCAAACAGG